AUCCUUUUCUGGUUCAUAAGCAUGAUGAUUGGGUAUUCAUACAUUUGUGUGACAAUGUGCCUCCCUUAAAACUUGUUAUGCUCUUGGCACAAUACCCAUCUGAUG